ACCUGGGUAGCUCAGUCGGUUGAGCGUCUGACUUCAGCUCAGGUCAUGAUCUCACAGCUUGUGAGUUCAAGCCCCACGUU
rnacentral:tRNA from 1 species